GACAACGUAAGAUGGCGGCGGCCGCGCAUGCGCGCCUCGCUGGCAGACAUAAAGCCCGUCUGGCCCAGGCCGACGGAAAUAGGCUCGGCUCGCGCGGCGGAAAUUGCCGAGCGGCGCCGAGCCCGGCGGAGGGGGAAGGGGGCGCCGGCGGUUCCCGCAGCGUGGGGAGGGGGCGCGGCGGGCGCCGCCGGCCCCGGCGCCUCUCCCCGCGCGGGGCUGCAGCAUGACUCUGCCUCACAUGACCCGCCGCCGCCUCCUCCCUCCCCCUCUCCUCAGCUCCGCUGCAGAUUUAUUCAAGUUAUUCAUCACCUCCUUCCUCCUCCUCCUCCCUCCCUCGGUCCAGAAUAUUCCCGCCUCCCCCUUCUUCUCCUUCCCCCGUGAAGGGGGGAAGCCCGAGGCGCCCGCCCGGGGGCUGCGCUUCCUUUUGUGCCUCUCCCGGUGCCCCGAAAUGGCCGCCCGCCCCCCUCGAGGCCCGGCAGCAGGGCCCCCUUCGAGGCCCUGUGGUGGGGCUGGGGCACCACCGCUGCCGAGAGCCUCCGGCGCCACGUGUGACCACGGUACCGUGGGCGAAAAGGCCCUCCGAGCACAGCAGCCAUGGCGAAGCCCCUCAUCUGGGGUUCGCGGGCAGCGUGGACGUUGAGGUGCUUCAAGCUUGAGCAAAAGCAAAAAUGUCAAAGCACUGUUUCAAAAGUGCUGCUGUUAAAAGCUGUUCUUAAAUUGCUAAAUGAAACGAGGUGAAAUCCAUCAGUCUUCCCUCGCCGUUCCUGUGCCAAUUCUCAUGAGGGAAGAAAGACUUUGUGGUCCCCCUCGGAGUCGUGUGACGAAGCUCCGUGCGUCCCUGGGCUGCUUCCCUGCCAUGUCGGUGCUGCAACUCUUCCCUGUCCAAAUUUUAGAUUCUCCUGAUCCCUUGUUGGCUACCAUCUUACCUCUGAAGGCACUAGGUGUUCCCAUGUUUGCCAGGAGAUUUUCUGAAGUGUCUACGUGUCUGUUAUUUAGCUUCCACAGAGAUGCCCAAGGCUGAUGAGUGCUGAGAGACUGAUAAUCGAUUGGAUCAUCUAACAUAGCUUCCUGGUAUGCCCGGGCCAGUGCAAGACAACACAGCUUGAAUGCCCUACGCGCUGAACCUGUCAGGAGCUCCGUACAGGAUGGCGUCUUCAUGCAAGUCCCACAGAUUUCAGCAAAGCAUCGCAUCAUGUUUUGUCUACGUGAAGCAUGUUGCAACACUGAGGCCUUAUAUGUGUGUUUAAUGAGAUACUCAUAUGCUGAAAGUUAAACGUGUGUAAACAUUUUUGGGAUGAGAGCCCAAGGUUGCAAGCCAGCUUCCAUUAUAAAUUCCUAUCCUGACUGCUUAUAACUUUCCCAGUUUCCUUGAGGAAUUAAGUCUUCUAUGAUUAGUCCCAGCUCAGAGAUGAUUUUUCUGAAUGUUUGAACAAAGUCCAACUACUUUUAAAACACAUUGUCUAUGACUAUGGGUAAAUCUUUUCUUUUAACCUUAAAAAUCUGUGCUUAAGUGGUUCAAACAUGAUUGAACUGUACGUUUGUAUGCAACUACUUUCCAAAGAGUAAUAGACAUUAAUAAGCUUGAAAAAGAAUUAAAACAGUAGUGUUAUAACUGGUUAAACAUUUACUUUUCCACAUGCUCACUAAAUAACUUAUAUUCAUUUUUAAAUCUGGGUAGUUACCUGUUAUUCUGUUGGGCUAAUAAACUUAUUAGAACAGCACGUGAAGCAGAUCUUUAAAUUGGCUCCACAUAGUUCUGUUCUGACAUAACAGAAACUGCAGUUAACAAUCCAAAUGUCACGUCUAGCCUAGACAAAGCACAUCUGAAGUAGCCUGGUUGAAAUAUUUUUACAUGUUUCUUAUAAAUGUUAAUGUCAUAUUACACAUCGUUUCGUAAUCUUCGCUUACCCUUUUUCAUCAAAUAUAUGUUUACACUUUUUUGUGUGUGUUGUAAUCUAAGAAUGAAAGUGGGAUUCUCCAAUAUAAGAUUUUUAUUCCUUUUCAUAUCCAUCAAGCUUUAUAAAAAUAAAACAUUGUGUUAAACAGUUGAAAUUGACAACCCACUUGCUGUAAAUUGUGUUACUUAGUUGUUCAAAGUGGGAAGAGGAAUUUUGUUAAAUAAUUCCUUUAAAAAAUACUAAAUAUUUCAAAAUUUGGCAACAACAAAAUUGACCAUGCUCAACUAUGCGUUGCUGAACGAUAAGUGAAAUUGCUCCAUAGUUAUUUCGAACAAGUCCAUCUGCUGUUUUUUAAUAAACUGUAUCAGUCAAAUAGCUGGAACCAGAGGUGCCUCUGUCAUCACUUGCUGGAUCCAGCACCUUGUUCACAGUGGUCACUGCUCAUGAGUAUGGGACAGACAGCACUGCAAUGCCUUCAUCACCUCAGCUGGAGACUGAAGACUGCUGGAGGGUUGCCAGCAUAGAGGAAUCCCCUUGGAUUGCAUCUCCUGUAUAUAUGCUUCCCCAAGUGAACAAGCACAGAUGGGCUUGACGGAGCCCUUGCUGCGAGGUAGGGAGAGUGAGUGUCUGGAAGAACUCUAUCUGUUUUAACCUUACAAUCUUAUGAUUUAGGUUAGUGCAAGAGAACAUGACACAGUCUACAUAUUUAGAGAUCUGUCUCCCAUAUAUGUACUAUUUCUUCAGACAGGAAACAACAAGUUUGUUGCCACCACAGAUUCUCCAGUUGCCACCACAGAUUCUCCAAGGAUACCAGAAAAAGCAGUAUUCUAAUCUUCUGUUUCUAAGGCGCCUUUGCUGCGGGACACAGCUGUAUGCAUUCAUCUCAGUAUAUGAGAUAGUUUGUGUUUGUACAGAGUAAUCAUAAAGCCAACAGGAAUACUUUGGGUUUUUUACUCGAGACAAGCUCAUAAUCUUGGCAAAUCAGUCUGAGGUGUGUUUUAAAACCUGUGUGACUGCUUCAUAAAUAAUUUUUUAAACUAAUGAAAAGUGACAUUUUUAUGAUAUGAAGCUGCCAUUGUUACUUCAGACAGAAGGUUUUUCUGUGUUCAUUAAUAUUGCUGACUGUAGUUUCUACAUUGAUUUGCAAAGGUGUGUGCAAUUAUUUUUCUUCCUCCUUAGAGAAGUGCUCAUAAGAAAUUUCUCAUCUUUCAGCUCUGAAAAAGUUGUAAUUCUGCUUCUGUAUUUUCCUAGAAAGUUCAAGUCAAGUCUUGAUCUUCCUUUCUUGUUUUGUUUUUAGUUGGCUGGUUAGUUGGUUGAUUGAGUUUACUGACUUAUUCCAAAACGUCUACUGAGACAUUUUUCAGUCCUUAUUUUAAUGCUUAUGAAAUGAUGUUAAACCUUUUGGAGAGUGAAGUUUUCUCACAAGCUCCUAUUAAAUAAAUGCUUGCAGAAAUCGACAA